rnacentral:rRNA from 1 species
ACAACGGAGAGUUUGAUCCUGGCUCAGGACGAACGCUGGCGGCGUGCCUAACACAUGCAAGUCAAGGGGAAAGGGAAUCUUCGGAAUCCCGAGUACACUGGCGGACGGGUGAGUAACACGUAGGUAACCUGCCCCGAGGACUGGGAUAACCCCUCCAACGGGGGGCUAAUACCGGAUAAUGUCCCUGCGGCGCAUGUCGCAGGGAGCAAAGCAGUCUCGAUUCGUCGGGAUAGCGCCGCGGGAUGGACCUGCGCCCC